rnacentral:piRNA from 1 species
UGCCCAAGAGAGGAGACAUGAUCUUCAGUGU